rnacentral:ribozyme from 1 species
CUGGGAUGAUUGCUGCUGGUGCCCCCACUUUAACUG